UACGUAGGGGGCAAGCGUUGUUCGGAAUUACUGGGCGUAAAGGGCGCGUAGGCGGCACAGCAAGUCGGGAGUGAAAGCCCGGGGCUCAACCCCGGAACUGCUUUCGAAACUGUUGUGCUAGAGUGCAGAAGGGGCAAUCGGAAUUCUUGGUGUAGCGGUGAAAUGCGUAGAUAUCAAGAGGAACACCUGAGGUGAAGACGGGUUGCUGGGCUGACACUGACGCUGAGGCGCGAAAGCCAGGGGAGCAAACGGG
rnacentral:rRNA from 1 species